rnacentral:tRNA from 1 species
UCGUGGGCCCAGGUGGAGGACUGCGCCGCCGGCCGGGCUGGUCGGGUGGCCUCGGGUUGUCACGGACCGGAAGCCGUUCGGGUCGGCUGCCUACGAA